ensembl:lncRNA TTC28-AS1 TTC28 antisense RNA 1
GGCUCCUCCCUUCAGCUUUGGUCCCUCGGGGCGUCUGGGCAGCCUACGCUUUCCGACUGGAAUCAGCCAUUUUACCAAGAAAGUUGGGUUUCUUUUACUGGCAAAUAGUACUUCAAGAGCACAGUCUUAUGUAAGCAUGACCCAUCUGCCUGGCACCAGCACCUGGGGCUGCCAGGCAGCCACCCCUGCAGCUGUGUUGACAGGACCUGGCAGAGGGACUGACCCACCUUUGGAAAAUGACACCAGCAAUAUCAGGAUGUGUCAACUGGAUUUAUGCUAAGAAAAUAGGAUUUUUGGUGUUCCUCUGUUUCCCAAAGUUUGAGACACUUUCAGACACUCUGCUUUGCGGUUGUGGCCGAUGUUACCCAUGGGUGGGACUUUUGCUUUGCUCUAGAUUUUUGUAACACCCUGGGGAGUUUCAGGGGCCAAUGCUGAGAGAAGACCACAGGCUGACACAUCAUGAGGGCGGCGCUGGCUUUCAGGCCGUUCAGCAGGGAUGAGUAGAAGGCAUGGAUGAACAUCUUAGAAGCAGCCACUGGCACAGGCCACAGAGACACGAGGACACACUGAGCGCCGGCAGCCAGGAAGGCCCUUGUCAGCGCGAUGACCCCGUCGGCUGUGACUUUGCUGUUGGACUCCUGGGAGGAGCCAAGCACCACCAGCUUCACAGGCAGCUGCAGGUCCAGGACGUCGGCGGCAGUGCCUAACUUACUGAGAAUCAUGCCUGCUGUGAUGAGCCCUUGGAA